rnacentral:rRNA from 1 species
UACGUAGGGGGCGAGCGUUGUCCGGAUUUAUUGGGCGUAAAGAGCUCGUAGGCGGUUUGGUAAGUCGGGUGUGAAAACCCCAGGCUCAACCUGGGGACGCCACCUGAUACUGCUAUGACUUGAGUCUGGUAGGGGACCACGGAAUUCCUGGUGUAGCGGUGAAAUGCGCAGAUAUCAGGAGGAACACCGGUGGCGAAGGCGGUGGUCUGGGCCAGUACUGACGCUGAGGCGCGAAAGCGUGGGGAGCGAACAGG